rnacentral:rRNA from 1 species
AUUGAACGCUGGCGGCGUGCCUAACACAUGCAAGUCGAGCGAUUCUCUUCGGAGAAGAGCGGCGGACGGGUGAGUAACGCGUGGGUAAUCUGCCCUGUACACACGGAUAACAUACCGAAAGGUAUGCUAAUACGAGAUAAUAUGCUUUUAUCGCAUGGUAGAAGUAUCAAAGCUCCGGCGGUACAGGAUGGACCCGCGUCUGAUUAGCUAGUUGGUAAGGUAACGGCUUACCAAGGCGACGAUCAGUAGCCGACCUGAGAGGGUGAUCGGCCACAUUGGAACUGAGACACGGCCCAGACUCCUACGGGAGGCAGCAGUGGGGAAUAUUGGACAAUGGGGGCAACCCUGAUCCAGCCAUGCCGCGUGAGUGAUGAAGGCCUUCGGGUUGUAAAGCUCUUUUGGCGGGGACGAUGAUGACGGUACCCGCAGAAUAAGCCCCGGCUAACUCUGUGCCAGCCGCCGCAGUAAUAC